rnacentral:tRNA from 1 species
GGCCUGAUGGUCUAGUAGUAUGAUUCCUUGUUAGGGUUGUUUGACCAAAUCGAGGAGGUCCCGGGUUCAAUUCCCGGUCAGGCCC